UACCAGAGUACUAUGAAUGUUGUAAAUUUAAAACUCAAAGAACUUGGCGGUGUUUUAGACCACUCAGGGGAACCUGUCUCGUAAUCGACAAUCCACGUUGUACCUGACCUUUUUUUGUUUUCAGUUUGUAUACCGUUGUCGUCAGGUAACUUUUUAGAAUACAGAAGUUGGCUGGAAAAAUAGAUAAUUUAGUACGUCAAAUCAAGGUGCAGCUUAUAGAAAGGGGAGGAUGGGUUACAAUUAUUAAUUUAUAAUUACGAAUGAUUAUGUUAAAGUGUAAUGUUAGAAGGAGGACUUGAAAGUAAAUUGGAUUUAUAAAAAUAAAUUUGAAUAAGGCUCUGAAACGUGU
rnacentral:rRNA from 1 species